rnacentral:rRNA from 1 species
CCUACGGGCGGCAGCAGUGGGGAAUAUUGCACAAUGGGGGAAACCCUGAUGCAGCGACGCCGCGUGGGUGACGAAGUAUUUCGGUAUGUAAAGCCCUAUCAGCCGGGAAGAAGAUGACAGUACCUGACUAAGAAGCCCCGGCUAACUACGCGCCAGCAGCCGCGGUAAUACGAAAGGGGCAAGCGUGAGCCGGAUUGAAUGGGUGUGAAGGGAGCGUAGGUGGCAUGGCAAGCCAGAAGUGAAAACCCGGGGCUUAACCCCGCGGAUUGCUUUUGAAACUGUAAGGCUGGAGUGCAGGAGGGGCAGGCGGAAUUCCUGGUGUAGCGGUGAAAUGCGUAGAUAUCAGGAGGAACACCGAUGGCGAAGGCGGCCUGCUGGACUGUAACUGACACUGAGGCUCGAAAGCGUGGGGAGCAAACAGGAUUAGAUACCCCGGUAGUC